rnacentral:rRNA from 1 species
UUUAAUUUAUUUAGAAUUUUAUUUUUAAGUAAGAAAGCUUAAAUUUUAUUAAAAGACGAGAAGACCCUAUAGAGUUUAAUAAAAGGUUAUUUAUAGGUUUUUAAGUAUAUUUUUAUUUAUAUUUAAUUUAUUAUUUUAUUGGGGUGAUAGAAAAAUAUAGUUAACUUUUUUUAGUAUUAAUUCAUUAAUUAGUGUAUAAUUGAUCCAUUAUUUAUGAUUAUAAGAUUAAAUUACCUUAGGGAUAACAGCGUAAUUUUUUUUUAGAGUUCUUAUCGAAAAAAUAGAUUGCGACCUCGAUGUUGGAUUAAAAUUAAUUUUUGGUGUAGAAGCUAAUUAAUUAGGUCUGUUCGACCUUUAAAAUUUUACA